AUUGAACGCUGGCGGCAUGCUUUACACAUGCAAGUCGGACGGCAGCACAGAGAAGCUUGCUUCUUGGGUGGCGAGUGGCGAACGGGUGAGUAACAUAUCGGAACGUACCGAGCAGUGGGGGAUAACUAAUCGAAAGAUUAGCUAAUACCGCAUAUCUUCUGAGGAAGAAAGCAGGGGACCAUUUGGCCUUGCGCUGUUUGAGCGGCCGAUAUCUGAUUAGCUAGUUGGUGGGGUAAAGGCCUACCAAGGCGACGAUCAGUAGCGGGUCUGAGAGGAUGAUCCGCCACACUGGAACUGAGACACGGCCCAGACUCCUACGGGAGGCAGCAGUGCGGAAUUUUGGACAAUGGGCGCAAGCCUGAUCCAGCCAUGCCGCGUGUCUGAAGAAGGCCUUCGGGUUGUAAAGGACUUUUGUCAGGGAAGAAAAGGGCGGGGUUAAUACCCCUGUCUGAUGACGGUACCUGAAGAAUAAGCACCGGCUAACUACGUG
rnacentral:rRNA from 1 species